rnacentral:snRNA from 1 species
GUGUUACUCAGGUAGCACGUAUACUAAAAUUGGAACGAUACAGAGAAGAUUAGCAUGGCCCCUGCGCGAAACUCCCCCAGCGUUCUUCUCUCUUUUG